CAGCAGCCGCGGUAAUACGUAGGGUGCGAGCGUUAAUCGGAAUUACCGGGCGUAAAGCGUGCGCAGGCGGUUAUAUAAGACAGAUGUGAAAUCCCCGGGCUCAACCUGGGACCUGCAUUUGUGACUGUAUAGCUAGAGUACGGUAGAGGGGGAUGGAAUUCCGCGUGUAGCAGUGAAAUGCGUAGAUAUGCGGAGGAACACCGAUGGCGAAGGCAAUCCCCUGGACCUGUACUGACGCUCAUGCACGAAAGCGUGGGGAGCAAACAGGAUUAGAUACCCCGGUAGUCCCUGUCUCUUAUAC
rnacentral:rRNA from 1 species